AUUGAACGCUGGCGGCAGGCUUAACACAUGCAAGUCGAGCGGGGUGAUGGUGCUUGCACUAUCACUUAGCGGCGGACGGGUGAGUAAUGCUUAGGAAUCUGCCUAUUAGUGGGGGACAACAUCUCGAAAGGGAUGCUAAUACCGCAUACGUCCUACGGGAGAAAGCAGGGGAUCACUUGUGACCUUGCGCUAUUAGAUGAGACUAAGUCGGAUUAGCUAGUUGGUGGGGUAAAGGCCUACCGAGGCGACGAUCUGUAGCGGUUCUGAGAGGAUGAUCCGCCACACUGGGACUGAGACACGGCCCAGACUCCUACGGGAGGCAGCAGUGGGGAAUAUUGGACAAUGGGGGGAACCCUGAUCCAGCCAUGCCGCGUGUGUGAAGAAGGCCUUAUGGUUGUAAAGCACUUUAAGCGAGGAGGAGGCUCUUUUGGUUAAUACCCAAGAUGAGUGGACGUUACUCGCAGAAUAAGCACCGGCUAACUCUGUGCCAGCCGCCGCCGUAA
rnacentral:rRNA from 1 species